rnacentral:lncRNA from 1 species
AUAAAGACACAUUUUUUCAUACAAGGGUUGCCACCUUGCUUAAAUUAUAUAAGAUUUCACGUCAAUUAAAUGAUGAAGAUGACUCUCCAGAAGGAAGCCUACUGUCAAGUGUAGUUGUAAAAGAGACAUUAAUGGCUCCAGAGGAAUGGACACCACAGAAUGUAUUUCCAUGUGUUUUAAAAGAUUGUCAAAGUGCCACUAUGACCAUUACUGAGAUAGAUACUAGGGAGAAAGAUAAUUCUCUUGAGAAGUCUAUACCUGACUUUAUUUUAUCAUCAACAUCAGAGAAGAUUUCCAGGGAAAUAUUAACUGUACAAAGUAUAAUGGGUGAUGAAUUUGAAAUCAGAGAUUUGCUGAAAGCACUCCGUGAUUCAGAGAGUCCAGAAAUGAUAAACCCUUUGCAUAACACAUUACAAUGUCAAGGUGAUGCUCUAUCUGUAGAUAUAUCAGUAGAUGAGAACAGCAAUGUUCUGCCACUAGAGCUUCUGACAGCACUGAACUCCUUUUCAGAGUCUGUAGUACAGCCUGUCUGUCAAUUAGUAGGGAAGAAAAGAGAGCUUAAUGCUGAAGAAGAACAUUUGAGAUCAGAACCCAGUAUUUUCCAGAUAGAUGACUGCACUCAAAUAACUGAUGACAAUUUUGAACCUCAAUUUUCUGUGAAGCAAUUGGAAGAAAUAAAAGCUUUAACAGAGGCUGCAUUUCAGAGUACUUUAGAUGAAGAACUUUUAGGUAACCAGAAGAACCAGGAUUUGAUAAUUUCUGAUUACUGCAAUGUCGCCUCUUAUGACAAACAAGCUGGUGAAGGAAAUUCAGGUUCAAUAGAAAAUACCUCAGGUAUAGAAACUACCAAAGCAACUUCUUGUACAUUAAGGAGGUCAACUCGAUUAAGAGAAAACUGCACUAGAAAGCACAUAAAUGAAGCUUCCAGUUGUUAUAAAAUGCUAGAAGAAACGCACCA